AGUGAACGCUGGCGGUAGGCCUAACACAUGCAAGUCGAACGGCAGCACAGUAAGAGCUUGCUCUUACGGGUGGCGAGUGGCGGACGGGUGAGGAAUACAUCGGAAUCUACUUUUUCGUGGGGGAUAACGUAGGGAGACUUACGCUAAUACCGCAUACGACCUACGGGUGAAAGCAGGGGAUCUUCGGACCUUGCGCGAUUGAAUGAGCCGAUGUCGGAUUAGCUAGUUGGCGGGGUAAAGGCCCACCAAGGCGACGAUCCGUAGCUGGUCUGAGAGGAUGAUCAGCCACACUGGAACUGAGACACGGUCCAGACUCCUACGGGAGGCAGCAGUGGGGAAUAUUGGACAAAGGGCGCAAGCCUGAUCCAGCCAUACCGCGUGGGUGAAGAAGGCCUUCGGGUUGUAAAGCCCUUUUGUUGGGAAAGAAAAGCAGCAGGUUAAUACCCCGCCGUUCUGACGGUACCCAAAGAAUAAGCACCGGCUAACUUCGUG
rnacentral:rRNA from 1 species